rnacentral:rRNA from 1 species
GACGAACGCUGGCGGCGUGCCUAAUACAUGCAAGUCGAGCGGGGCUCGAGGAGGGCUUGCCCUUCGAGAGCCCAGCGGCGGACGGGUGAGUAACACGUAGGCAACCUGCCCGUAAGACCGGGAUAACUCCGGGAAACCGGGGCUAAUACCGGAUAGGACCGGGGGUCGCAUGACUCCUGGUGGAAAGGACUGAUGUCCGCUUGCGGAUGGGCCUGCGGCGCAUUAGCUAGUUGGUAGGGUAACGGCCUACCAAGGCGACGAUGCGUAGCCGACCUGAGAGGGUGACCGGCCACACUGGGACUGAGACACGGCCCAGACUCCUACGGGAGGCAGCAGUAGGGAAUCUUCCGCAAUGGGCGAAAGCCUGACGGAGCGACGCCGCGUGAGCGAGGAAGGCCUUCGGGUCGUAAAGCUCUGUUGUUGGGGAAGAAACCCCGGGAGGGGAUCCCGGGCUGACGGACCCAAC